GUCGAGAAUUUUUCACAAUGGGCGCAAGCCUGAUGGAGCGACGCCGCGUGGGGGAUGAAGGGCUUCGGUCCGUAAACCCCUGUCAUUUGCGAACAAGGCGUUUGACCUAACACGUCAGACGUUGAUAGUAGCGAAAGAGGAAGGGACGGCUAACUCUGUGCCAGCAGCCGCGGUAAUACAGAGGUCCCAAGCGUUGUUCGGAUUCACUGGGCGUAAAGGGUGCGUAGGUGGCGGGGUAAGUUCGGUGUGAAAGCUUCGAGCUCAACUCGGAAAUGGCAUUGAAUACUAUCCUGCUCGAGGGUCGGAGGGGAGACUGGAAUUCUCGGUGUAGCAGUGAAAUGCGUAGAUAUCGAGAGGAACACCAGUGGCGAAGGCGAGUCUCUGGACGACUCCUGACACUGAGGCACGAAAGCUAGGGGAGCAAACAGGAUUAGAAACCCCUGUAGUCC
rnacentral:rRNA from 1 species